GAAGACGCAGCCGCGCGCGCACCUGCGCCGCAGGAACUUGCACGCUCCGCACGGUGACCCGAACCCCGUCAUCUCCAUCUGCAAGACUGCAAGCACAGCUGUUCUGUACUGCACUGUGCUGCACGUGAUAGCUCGCUCAGCUCGAGCUGGAUCGAUCGGUGGCGACGAUCACUUCGUGUUCUUGCCCUGCUGACUGCGGCUGUGGUGCGGUGGAGGAUGGGGGCGGGGCGGCAAUGCUUAUAAGGAGGAGAAGGAGACGGCAGCAGGGCUGGGGGAUUAGGGCCAAAGGAUUAAACAAACCAGGCGUGUCUGCCCGGUGGACAACCAGCUCCAUUAUUUUGAGCUUCCAAUCGCCCUCGCUCCUUACCGCUAAGUUUUUUUUUGGUGACACCCUCCCUGCACCGCAUGGGGCACCCUACUACAAUAAGCCUAGCAGGAGCAUGUAAGUCCAGCCACCGAGAAAAACAAAUCAAGCAAUGGUCUGCCAAUUCGUAGCUUAAAUUAUGUGUUUAUAAUAGAACUGAAUUUGUUAUAGCUUAAGAUGUACUGUUUUCUUCUUUCUAUAGUAUAUAGCAGUUGCACCUUUGAAGGACUGAGGAACAUGGCAGCAGAAUUUCUGAAACUCUGCUGCCUCUGCUUCACAAAACGCCCAAAAGGACGAUUUAAACUUGUCAGCGUCAUCAGGUGAUGAACACACCUUCGGCAACCGCUAAGACGCGUUCAAGGACCAUAGUUGCAUAGUAUUUUUCAAAUGUCGACUUGUAUUUGCCUGUUGCUAGCCUUAAUGUAACUGUGCAAUGCGUAGUGAAAUUUUAUACGUCAAAAUCUGAUGGACAAAGAAAAUGAUAGAUUGAUUUGCAAUGUUACCGGGGUGUAAUUUUGGUCUAGCUUACGAGUCAGUCGAGCUGACUUAAGUUGUCUAACGAACCGAAUUGAGCAAGUAUUCUAACUCUUAUUGUAACGAGUCGAUUCGAGCCAUCUUUUUGUAGUACGGAGCCACCCCACCCCCCUAGUUACGUAGUACCCAGCGGUGCAUGUGUGUAUAUGUUGG
rnacentral:lncRNA from 1 species